rnacentral:sRNA from 1 species
CGCUAUCUAUUAGACAUUUAAAAAAUUUUAAAAAAAGUUGAGUUUACGUGGUCUCUUUCCCUCGAGUUUCUUGCUUUUCCCCCGUGUUUCUUUUCACUAUCAACCAAAAUCCCUAGAGUUUCUUUUCACUAUCGACCACAACCCACUGUAUCCUAAAUUUCAGAUUCAUCAAACCCACUGCCCCAAUUUCACUCUUUAUUUUCGCUCAAAUUUCAUGCGUUCGUCUUAAAUUGGUGGAACACGUCACUGUGGCUUUGGUGGAGCAAGUCGCUCGCGGCAACAAGAUUUAACGCGUUGCCCUGCGUUCCGAAUCGUGGGGACGGUCAAGAGUAGAAUUGUUAUUGCAGGAAUGGUAAAGUGAGGAGAAUAAAGAAGAAUGACGUGCGAGAAGCCCCACUUACCAACGUUCCUUUCUUCCUCAUCUUUCACGUCCAAGAAAUCCCAUUCCUUCGCUCUAGGCAAUGCAGGGCAAGGGUUCACUCUGCAAUUGAUCAACUCUUGCUAUAUUAAAGAUUGGAGAAAGUGAAGAAAGACAGGGGUUGCACCGCCAAAGAGUGUAUCAGUAAAAUGCCUCCCUGUGUUGUUGGAAAAUGGAGCUCUAUAUAUCGCAGCGUCACCAGGUAAGGUUCAGUUUUGAUGAAAUGAAUGGAUCUCUUAAAAUGGUGGGAUAGGUGUUAUCUUUCACAGUUUUCAUGAUUUUGCACUCAAGUUUGAAGAUUUAGAUUGUAAUGAAUUUGGUGUUGUGUCUAUGUAAAACAUGUUUUCUUGCCAAUUAUAUACCUUGAUUUGUUAAAUAGGAUCUUCUAUCACAGGUUGUUGUGUUAACAACAUGGCUAAGCUUUACCCUCUUGAAAAGACCCUUCUAAACGGUGACUCCAGUACAAGCAGCAACUCUGGUCCCAUUAAGACAAAAGGAAAUGAAAAUUUAAGCUGAAAUUCAUAAUGCUGGAUUUUUUAAUAUUCUCACUUUCUCGUGGAUCAGUCCAUUAAUAACAGUAGGCAAUGAGAGGACUUUAAACCAUGAGGACAUCCCACUUUAAACUAAGGGAUUUUUCAAACUUUUAGAAGCAAACUAGAUUUAGAGUGUGGUAGUGUUAGGAAUUUGACAACUCUUAAUCUUCUUAUCAGGUUUAUUGGCAUUCUUGUCUACAUGUGUUUCUUAUGUAGGACCCUUUCUUAUUGAUAUCUUUGUUCAAUACCUCAACGGAGAACACAUGUUUAAAAAUGAAGGAUAUGUUUUGACUGCGGCAUUUGUUGCUGCAAAGCUUUUGGAGAGUCUUUCAGACAGGCACUGACUGCAUGUUCAGGUUGCAGCAGUAUGGGGUUCAAAUUCAAUCCAAGUUGGUGGCAAUGAUCUAUGCUAAAGGUUUGAUUCUUUCAUGUCAAUGAAUGGAGGUUCAUAGCUAUUGGUUUAUUUUUAGAAAGCUUGGAGCACUUUAUUGUUCACCUUAAAUUGUCCAUCCUAUCAUCCCAAAUAGUACAGGAUUUUUAAUUCUGCCCAUUUUGUUUCCGUGAGUUUGGACUAAUACAAUUAGCUUUAAAGAAAAUAAUUACACAUGAUGCGACACCUUGUCUAUCCACUUUUGUAAGUUCUUGGAUCAUACCAAAAUUGGUCUUGCUCAUUCACCAUUAUGACUUGCCAAUAUCCCUACACUUCCUCAAUGAUUUAGGUUAGGUGGCUAAUGGAUUAGUCUCCAAAGAACCUUAUACGUUGGUUGGCUAUGCUUGUGGGACAUCAUCUCGUCUUGGUAUAUUCAUUAUAACAUAUUAUUUUGACCAAAGUUGGUCUUGCCUCAAGUCACGGUAGUGACUUCGUUAUACCAUCAUUUCAAUUAAUUAAAUAAACUCCAUUCUGUAUGUGAAAGGGCUGGAACUGUGGUCUCAUUUAUUAUCGUGUAUUGGUUCUUUUAGACAAGGAUAGCUUAUUGUUGCUUCUAGCCGUGGAGGAGAUUUUGUGUGGAACCAACUCUGUUUCAAUUCCUUUCCCAAGAACCAUCGAACUCUACCAAUUCUCAUUUUCUGUUAGUGCCAAUUUUUAUUCCGUUUUUCCUUAAUGGUAAGACUUUUAGCUAGAAAAAAGUAUAAACUAAUUGUGUAGAUCCUUGAUUUUUUAGUCUUUUCAUCAAGUGAAUGUUAGGAUUAUGGAUUAAAUAUCUUGCAUUUGUAACAUAAGAAAGUUAAAUUAAUUCCUGUAAGCUAAAAUGAAUUUUUACAGUUAAACUUUUAGAAAAAAAAUAAGAGAGGUUUUAUAACACUUAACUAAUUCUUAAUUUUUUAUUACUGAAAAAAUAGUUACUUGAUAAGACAGAAUAGGUAUUUAAUUUUUAAAAAAUAGCUACCAAUUACUACCUCAUUAUCACACCUUAUACAUUAAGUCCAAUUAAAUAUAUGAUUUUCUUUAUCCCAUUAUUCAUACUUUAGAUACCUCUUACGUGAAAGACUAGACCAUAAUGGUAGAUUUGGUUUUGGAUAACUAAAUUAACAUACUCUUUUGUGUAAAAUAAAUAGUGAACAAGCAAAAAUUCAUAUUUUAGUGUAGCUAAAAUUCUGCACAUGCCAAUAGUAUAUGUAGUUGCCUUGAACCCUCCAUGGUUCGAUUAAAAUUUGCUUUUCUUGCAUCAAGUUUUUUUUCAUGUAUACAUCUUUCAUGUAAAAAAUUAUGCUUUGAUAAAAGAUUGAAUUAGCUUUCUUGCUGGACAAUUUGAAUCCUUAAAAGUUGGUGCAAAAUUUUACAAAUUUUGCCAAUUUCAACUAUUGCAAUUUUCUAACCAAUUUGAUUUUUUUCACAAUUUUCGUGUCAACAACUUUUAGUAACAUUCUCCAUCAAGUGUGAAAGUAUUCGUGUCUACAAGUUUGAGACAAAUGUUAUUUUUCUAAUUGCAGAUGACAACAUCGUGACAAUCAAAUAAUUGAAGUUGAGGAAGAUUGAUGUUUACAUGUAAU